GGGUGCAAUCAUACCAACGUUAAUGCAUCGGAUCCCAUCAGAACUCCGCAGUUAUGCGCGCUUGGGCUAGAGUAGUACUGGGAUGGGUGACCUCCCGGGAAGUCCUAGUGUUGCACCCU
rnacentral:rRNA from 1 species